UCUCCUCCGUCCCAGUGCGCCGGCGCGCUGCCCCGCCACCUUCGCGUGGCCGCGGCGUCCCUCCCCUCUCACGCCGCAGUGCCGCCCCUCCACCCUCGCGCGGCCGCGGUGCCCCUCCCUUUGGCUCCACCGCGCCGCCGCUCCCUUUUCACCCACCCCUACGCGGCCCCGCCACGAAACCAAGUAGUUGCCGGUGUCGUCCUCCAGUCCCGUCCACCUUAGGCAUCAAGAUUUUCUGAUUUGGAUUCGCAGUCAUCGCCAACUCUCCAUUUGUUUCAGAAUUUUGGCAUGGCUGGCAAUCACAUUAGUUUGGAGGAGAUUGCAGAGCAUGAGAGUGUGAUAACCAAGGAGUUUAGAAGCGAGGCAGAAGGAUAUAAGUUCUAUAAUGAUUAUGCUUGGUCGAAAGGUUUUAGCAUCAGAAAGGACAAUGUUACGUACAAUGGAGAUGGUAAGGUGGUAUGGAGGCAUUCAUGUUGCUCAUAUGAAGGCUAUAGGUUGUUGAAAUACUUUGAAAGAACAGACCAAAUUAGGGAGCCAAGGGCCUGACACGUUGCGGAUGUGAGGCCAAACUUCAGAUACAGUUGAAUGAGGAGACGGGGAUUUGGUUUGUUAAAGAUUUCAAUGAUGGUCACGUGCACCCACUUGCAAAGCAUGACCAAGUUGCAUUCUUACGAUCCCAUCGGAAUCUAAGUGAUGCUCAAAAGGCUGAGGUUGUAGAACUUGGGGUCUGUGGCCUUCGUACAUGCAAUAUAAUGGACGUCAUGGAGAAGAAUCAUGGUGGUUAUGAUCAGGUUGGGUUUGUCUUGGGACUUGUACAACUUCAUUGCUCGUUACAAAAAAGAAAGAAUUGAGGGUAUGGACGCUCAAUUUGCACUGAGCCUUUUGAAUGAACAGAGGAAAGAGAAGCAGAAUUUUUCUUUUAGUACAAUACUGAUACCGGAGGUCAUCUAAAGAAUAUGUUCUGGGCCAAUGCACAAUCUUGGAUCGACUAUGAUGCAUUUGGAGGUGUUGUGGUUUUUGACGCCACUUACCAUGUCAACCGUACAACCUUCCUUUUGUUCCUUUUAUUGGUGUAAACCAUCACCGUAGCAUGGUUGUCUUUGGGUGUUGUCUUUCAAAUGAGACGGUUUCUUCAUAUGUGUGGCUGCUGGAGACCUUUAUUAAGGCGAUGGGUGGCAAGUGCCCUAAAUCGUUUAUCACCGAUUGGGACCUUUCCAUGGCAAAUGCCAUUGCCAAGGUCUGUCCUGAUACAGAUCAUCGGUUAUGUACAUGGCAUAUUAAUUGAGGAGAACGCAAAACGCCAUCUCCGUGGGGAUGCGCUCACUGAAUUUCGUAGACUCAUCUACGAAGUAAUGAUGGCCGAUGAAUUUGAGAGACGAUGGUGUGCCUUUAAAAACAGUGAUAAUGUACCGGAGAAGGAGUUAUGGUUAGCCAUGAUGUAUGCACUAAGGGAAAAGUGGGCCGCAGCGUAUACCGAUAGGAGAUAUUUCUUAGGGAUGAGGACUACACAGAUUUGCAGCAACAGAAAUAAAGAACAACUAAUGAGACACUUACAUACAAUAUGAUGGCUCCCAUCAUUCAAAGUUAUUUCUACCAUUCCAGCAUAAACAAGGGAUGACAAAGUACAUAUGUUCUAUACAACACUAGGUUUUCAAGCCUUGCAGAUUUUUUCUUCUUCAGCACAUUAAACAUGGCUGACAUGUUUUCAUCGGCACAUGAUAAAUCAUCUAGCUGCACUUGAAGAAAAAAGAAAUCAACGGCUUAGUUGAAGCAAGAUGCAAACUGAAAUCAAUAGGCAGUACACAUAAUAUUGUGUGUUAAAACGGCUUUUGGUCAAAACAGUGUAGGUAGCACAUGCUUGAGCAUUUUUAAUCUGUAACUUUACAUUCAGGAACUGCAUUUUCAGGACAACUGGAACUGAAGUUUUCAUGUGCCCUAUACUGAUGAGUAUAUUGGUCAAAUCUGUUCUUUUUGUGAAUUCAUAAUGUGAAUGAAAUUAAAACGGUGCGAUAUAAUAA